rnacentral:rRNA from 1 species
CCUACGGGAGGCAGCAGUGAGGAAUAUUGGUCAAUGGGCGAGAGCCUGAACCAGCCAAGUCGCGUGAGGGAAGACGGUCCUAUGGAUUGUAAACCUCUUUUGUCGGGGAGCAAGGCCCGACACGUGUGGCGGGCAGGAGAGGACCCGAAGAAAAAGCAGAGGCCAACUCCGUGCCAGCAGCCGCGGUAAUACGGAGGAUGCGAGCGUAAGCCGGAUUGAUUGGGUGGAAAGGGGGCGUAGGCGGAAGGUUAAGUCAGCGGUCAAAUGUCGGUGCUCACCACCGGCCUGCCGUUGAAACUGUUCUUCUUGAGUGAGCGAGAAGUAUGCGGAAUGCGUGGUGUAGCGGU